CUACAUUCUUCUUUCUCCAGAAUGAAUUCUGGAGAAACUUCUUUGAAAUGCUUUCAUAAAAUUUACCAGACACUCUGUUGCCCUUUUUUUAGGUACUGAAGGUUACUGGGCGUUUUCUUGCUCUUACAAUACGGUACUGCAAGACUUGCAUAUAUACACAUUGAGAAAUUUUAUCUAGGCUUCCUUUUAGCACUGUUCAUGGUAUUUUCUACUAAUAAUUCUUAGUGUCAUAGUUAAAAAAUGGAAGGUAGCUGCAAUCCCAUGUUCUUCUUUGUGUUUAUCACACGAAGUCAAUAGGAACUACCUCUUUUCUAUUGAAAUUUUACUUGCCUGGACUCAGUCCACUAAUGAUGCUUUUGAACAUUCUGAAAAACUUUCCCAAUGUUUUUUGAUAUCCUUUGGAGCGAAGAAAUCAACAGGUCAAAGCCCGAUCCAGUGACCAUGAAAUGAAACAAAGAUUCCCACCAAAAGCACUGUAUUAUGGCCAGAGACAAAGCUGGUUCUUGUAAGUAAUUGCCCUUGUUUUGUCCAUAUUGCAUGUGAGCUCUGUCCUACCAGUUCAGCUGCUGUUUGAGUGCCACUGUCUACAAGGAUGUUAUCAGUUCUGGUAAGAUUUCACAUACUCCUCCUGGCACAGCUCUAAUGUAGGUAGUACAUCAAUGGGAUGGUCUGAUUGCUAGUUAUGUUCUCUUUUCUAUCACAUUUACAUUGUGAUGGUGCUACUGAGUACUUGUAUCUGCUCUUCUAAAAUGGCUUUGACGUUAUUUUUGUUCCUCUUUGAAUAGUUUUUCUAUAUUACUUCGCUACUUUCAUUAAGUUUUUAUCCAAAAACUUCAACUGUCAGAGUCCAAGGUUUUAUCAAAAACGACUGAUCCAUUUAUUACUUUUUUUUUCCUUUUUUUUUUUAGAUCUGAGGAUUUUUUUCCCUGUGGAAAACAGGCUUUGAGUAGUUCAAACACCCCGAUCCAUUCUUCCUAUCCGCUUCUGUGCAGGCUUCAUGUAGCCUCAUGCUUUUCCAGGAUCUCGUUUUGCCCAAUGUAUGUUACAAAAGAAAAUUACCUGCCUGUCAUUACGUAUUUUCAUGCCUCAGUUUCUAUGAAGAUCAGUUUUCAUAAUCAUUCCAUCUUUGUUCUGUUCUCAAAGGCUGUUCCACUUCUUAUUCUGCAAAAGGGACAUUCUUUUGACACUCUCUGUACUCAUUAUUAAAACUGUUUAUAAGAAAUGACAACUCAUCAAGGAUAGGGCAAAAUAGCAAGAUACUUCAAAUGUACAUUUGUGCUCAGCUGUUCAGCUCACAGGCAGGAGAGAAAGAGCAUGAAGGAAGCAAUAUCUUAGGAACACUUCGUGAGAUUCUCUUAAAAAACUUCCACUAUAUACCUAACCAUGACAACACUUCAGUGUUUGAGGAUAUUUUAAGCUGACUAAGAUUCAAAUUUCUUCCCAUUUUCCCUUCUCCUUCUCCUCUCAUCAUGGAUGACAACAUCAUCUUCCUACUCACUAAGCAUAAGCAGUGCACCAUAUUUCCUUGUACCCCUCCCAGACUACCUUAUAUCUUGGCUCUGUUUAAAUAUUAUCACUCCUUCCUCCUCAACUUUGCAAAGACCAUCAUGUUUUGCCUGAGAGAUUGCCAAAGUGUUUGUCGAUGGGCUGAUAAUCUCACUGUUUGACUACUGUCACCUCCACUUUUCCAGCUCUCUCGCCUGCAGUCCUUUUGCCUCUCAUGCCUAUGCCAAACACUAUUGCAAUUUUCUAUCUUGCUUGCCAAACACUAUUGAUAUUUUCUGCCUUGCUUUUUGCUUGUUUUCCAGGUCCACCUUGCUUUCUUUUCACCAUCUUACUACUUUAAGUGUAAACAAGGCUUUGAAGACUACCACAAAGUAACAUUUACCAUGAUAAUCAGAUCUCCUUUGGCACAAAAAUAACAGCUCCAUGCCUUGUUAUUCCAACUGUGAAUAACUCCUGAUCUGUCAUGAUCAGUAUGUGACAUGAUAUAACAAUCCCUAUCAAAAAACAGGAAAAUUUCACCAGAGCGUUCUUCAAUUCCUUCUCAAGUCUUUCUUCUCCAGGUCUUCUGGGUAAUCAUGACUAUUUUGGAGGGUGAAUUAAGACCACACUGUAGCAUGCAGAAUCAGGUGGAAGAAGCUGCACCUCCUCCAUCAGAGAAGACAGUAAACAGGAGGCAGGCAGGAAAGAAAAUAGGACUGAUAGCUUAGUAGUGAUCACAGCUUUAAACCAGCUUCCAGCUUCCAUCUUGACUGGGCUCUGCUCCAGAUCACUCAAGAAAUAUUGGGGAAACUCAAUUUCAUCAGAUUUUCCAGGCCAGAGAGACAAAGGCCCUCUGCAGCCCCAGUGCAGCAGGGCGGGUGGCGAAGGCCACACAACGGCAUCAGUGAGGUCAGCACGACCGGGGCUGCUGCAGGCCGUGGGCACAGUGCUGGGCUGGGUCAGGCUGAAACAGGCUUCGCCGAGUCCUCCGCAGGGGAGAACAAUGAGAGGCUUGAGAAACAGGGGCUACUAUCUGGGAGUGUAGCGUUGGUUCCUUUGACUUGAUGCCUAACUUCUCAAUGGAGGAAACUCUAGGAGAUCUUCCUUGUGAUCUGAACACCAGAAGCUGCCAGUCACCAGCAGCUGGAAAUCAAGAAAUGCACAGGCAGAUGAAGUCUGAUGAAAGAUUACAGGACAGCCAUGUACCCCAAGACCAGAUUGCUUUGCUUUUGUACUGCUUCAUCUUCAUACUCCUUAUCAACACAGCAAAGGAACUGCUGUUCUUUUUUGUUGAGAAGCAUGAGCUGUUUGUUAUUGCACUAACCCUGUUAUAUAUAAUUAAAAAUCUCUGGAAUUAUUUGCUUGUUAUUAGUUCUUCCUCUCCAAUAUCAGCCUUCUCUGAAAUUCCUGACCGCAAUCUACAGUGUUCAGAUGUGAGGAUGAAAGGCACCUUACAAGAAGGAUCAGCCAUGUGAUAUGAGUCACUGGUGUUUUUUCUGAUACUUCACAUUUCAGAACCUGUCUCAUUUUUCUGACGCUCUCUCAGCCCUGUAAACUAUCUCAUCGAUAAUAAACUAUUUCCUUUAUCAAAAAUCAUUUAACUAAUUAAGUACGGUUAGAGAACUGAUGGACCAAAGAUGUAUUACAACACCUCAUCAGCUUCUUGGGAACUCAAAAACUGUCUUCUCCAAUACUAUGUGCAAUGCCAUCGUAAAUACCACAAGCAAGAGGAUCUGUCUUUCCCAUGGGGAGUUAUUCUAGAAUAGAACAGUUAUUGCCAGGAAUAUCUGACAUUGUGCAUUUCCCUCGCCAUGCUGCCAUGCUGUCUUUUCCAGCUAUUACUCUUAAAGUAAACCACCACCAGCAAAAUAAAAGACCACUACUUUUAACAAUAGUGGCAUGAUGUCCUGUUGUGUUCACUUUAGACAGCGCUUACCAGUUAGAUUAAAGGGGAUUCUGUCAGACUCCUUGAUUUUGGAUGAUUGCUAAGCAGCAAAAAGAGCAAUUGCUAAGCAAAACAAUCAGAGAAAGAGAAAUUAACGGAUCAAGGGAUCAAGGGGUAGAACAGGGAAGAAAAUCCUACGAAAG